rnacentral:lncRNA from 1 species
GCAUUCAUCCUCUUCUAUCAGUUAUUGUUCAAAUAGCUGCAUCCUUGGAAUCUUUCUUGGCAACCCAUGCUUUUGGAGGCAAAUCAGCUGGCGGACUCUCUAGCAAGUCUUCAACAAAAUUCAGACUUUCAUUCUUUGUCAUCCAUGCCCAUUUACAUGAAGAUGCAGGUGUUAGCGGAUUCAUCAGCAGUUGGUUUUCUUAGACUUUAGCAUGUUAUCCUUUUCCUUUUGUUUGUCGCUUUGUCUUUAUUUUGUUUUCUCAGUUCAAUUCUUGAUCUGGGUCUUCUAGACCCCCAUAUGUACCAAAAAAUAAAAAAAAAAGAAGCAAGCAUAGUGAUAAACUGUAAAAUCUGUAAAUUAAGAUAUAACAUACCAGGCUACAAGCAAUGAGUCUUUAAAAGUAAACAGAGUUACUAGUUGGUAGACUAUAAUUAUUCCACAAAUUUAUUUUCCUGAGCAAAAUAAUAUGGCACAUGUAACUGUGGAACCUGAUAAUUCAUACCGCCUUCUCAUUAGAAGUGCUGCACACUGCAACUUUUACUCCUUUUCCCAGAGCCUCAUCAAUCAGCCUAAACAAUUACAUAAGUUUAAAUUAUCUAAAAAAUCUAGUGGUCAAAUGAAUAACAUAUUGUAGGAAACCCAUAGACUUUAACAUGCAUUACCACAAGAAAUUGAAUAUCUUUUUUCACUUUUUCUUUGUUUUCCGAAAAUAAUGACAGAAGCAACAUGUAUUAGAAUUAUCAAAUACUUCGAAAAUAACACCACCAAGAUUUGAAUUCAGAACGCUCAUCCAGAUAGAGGGAUGCAAUCACUAAGCUGAAGCCAACUUGUAGACCAAUUAAUUGGUGAAUUCCAUGGCAUGGUUUCAAUAUAAGCUUUGAUUUUAGAAAGCCUUGUGUUAGCUUAUAUUUUGGCAAAAAAUAGAGAGCAGUUAUAACUCUAAUAAAUAUACCAAAUAUGAGUUUCUUUUUUUUUUCUAAAAAAAAACUCAAACUUCCAUAGGUAAAGUUUUUUUAUCAUGCAAAACAGAAUUAUUCUCCGCAAAUUUAGCUUCACUAACAAAUAUCAGCAUUAAAACAGGAUUUUUUGUAUAAACUUUAUAAAAGCAUACUUUAGCCCAAAAAUCUGAGCAAACAUCAACAAAAUGGCCUUGCAACAAUGAAAUAACAAACCAAAACAAAGUUUGUGGUGCCCAUGCAGAAGUUUUUUAAAUGCUGCUACUAGUGGGCUGGCUAGCGGCCAGCAUAGACAUGCUAUGCCAUGCUAAAAUUUAAAAAACAGAAAAAAUGUAGUACCUUUUUAGUAGACAUUUUUUAACAAACAAAUUAAUAGAUGUCUUGCGUGCCCAUUUCAGGUGCCGAUACUAGACCAGCAUGGUAAGUGCCGAACAACAUGGACUGACACAGACUAGCACUUGAAAGCUAGCCCACACAUCAUUUUUUUCCCUUCUUUUAAAAAUUGGUCAGAGCUUGUUUAUGCAUUAUUCAUUGAAACAGCAAAUGGAACAGGGCCAGAUGUUUUAUUUUUAUUAUUAUCAUGAGCUCAGGUAAUAAUUUGUGGCUGCUGUAGAAAAAGCAAGUGUUUGCUGCAAUCAUUCAGAAAGAAAGGAUGAGGAAUGGAAAUGUUGAUGAGGAAUUAUUCAAACACUUUUGGAAGACCACAAAGCCAGCAAUCACAUCAUGUCAAGUACUCAUUGCUCACUAGAGUACAUCUAUAACCAAGGAAGGGCCCAUAACUCACGAGACAUCCAAAAGAUGUAGAUCACAUAGUUUAAAUAACCAAGCCACCCAGGCACCAACUUAGUGGAUCCAAUAACAAAGAUGCCCUCAUAAGCAUAAUCACUAACAAAACUAUUUACACAUCCUUGGGCAUUAUGAGAUCUAAACCACAGGAUAUACAUAACAUGUGCAUGUGCACCUAUAGUUGUAGGUAUACAUACAUAUUAAUACACAGAGAGAGAGAGAGAAAUAGCUACAUGGUAUUUGGUAUCAAAUGCUACUGAAAUCAAAUAGUAGCCAUUUCAAAUGAAAAUCAAAAUCAUUGACCAUGAUCUACAAUCUCUAAGUUGUCUAGAAACCAUAAAUCAUUGGUUUAUAGGUCUCUUAUUGACAAAUCAAAUGAUGAAAUGAACAUUUUUAACAAUAUGACACCAUGCUUUGAUUUGAUUUAUAGUUUAAAAGCAUCCAGAUCAUUUUGAUUUUUGUUUUUAUGUGCUCUAAUAUAUUUCCAUCAAGAUCAGUAGUUUGAAUUUCAAAUAAUAUUAGCCUAUGAGGUAAUUUAUCUCAAUAACUGCAUUGCAAUCAUCCAUUUUGCAUCUGCUUGAUGUAUGGGUAAGAGACAUUGAAGAUGCUUUAUCUUUAAGUUUCCAUGGAAUUUAACCAUUGUAUAUCAUGAUCAACUCUAUAAAGUUUCAUUUUGAAAGAUUACUGUUGAAUUUGUGUUAUAGUAUUUGAAGCAACAAAUUAUCGACAGCCUGGUAUAACCAGCAGAAGACCAACAUAAAUGUAUGACUUCUCAAGGGCAGACAUCAAAGAUAUGAUGCUUUGACUUCAUGAAUCACUGACCAUAGUACU